CUGAUACAGGGAGGUAGUGACAAUAAAUAACAAUGCCGGGUCUUAUAGAUCUGGCAAUUGGAAUGAGAACGAUUUAAAUCCCCUAACGAGGAUCAAUUGGAGGGCAAGUCUGGUGCCAGCAGCCGCGGUAAUUCCAGCUCCAAUAGCGUAUAUUAAAGUUGUUGCAGUUAAAAAGCUCGUAGUUGGAUUUCUGGUGGGAGUGAUCGGUCCUUCACUUUGUGUUGGAACCUGAUUGUCUCCUGCCAUCCAUGGAGAGAACUUAUCUGGCAUUAAGUUGUCGGGUAGGCAAUCUCCAUCCUUUACUGUGAAAAAACUUAGAGUGUUCAAAGCAGGCUUAUGCCGUUGAAUACAUUAGCAUGGAAUAAUAAGAUAGGACUAUGGUACUAUUUUGUUGGUUUGUGUACCAUUGUAAUGAUUAAUAGGGACAGUUGGGGGUAUUCGUAUUCCAUUGUCAGAGGUGAAAUUCUUGGA
rnacentral:rRNA from 1 species